rnacentral:tRNA from 7 species
GCGGAAGUGUCGGAAUUGGCAGACGAGCAAGAUUCAGGUUCUUGUGAGCGCUACGCUCGUGAGGGUUCAAGUCCCUUCUUCCGCA